UGGGGAAUUUUGGACAAUGGGCGAAAGCCUGAUCCAGCAAUGCCGCGUGUGUGAAGAAGGCCUUCGGGUUGUAAAGCACUUUUGUCCGGAAAGAAAUCCUCUGGGUUAAUACCUCGGGGGGAUGACGGUACCGGAAGAAUAAGCACCGGCUAACUACGUGCCAGCAGCCGCGGUAAUACGUAGGGUGCAAGCGUUGAUCGGAAUUACUGGGCGUAAAGCGUGCGCAGGCGGUUUUGUAAGACGGAUGUGAAAUCCCCGGGGCUUAACCUGGGAACUGCAUUCGUGACUGCAAGGCUAGAGUAUGGCAGAGGGGGGUAGAAUUCCACGUGUAGCAGUGAAAUGCGUAGAGAUGUGGAGGAAUACCGAUGGCGAAGGCAGCCCCCUGGGCCAAUACUGACGCUCAUGCACGAAAGCGUGGGGAGCAAACAGGAUUAGAUACCCUGGUAGUCCACGCCCUAAACGAUGUCAACUAGUUGUUGGGGAUUCAUUUCCUUAGUAACGUAGCUAACGCGUGAAGUUGACCGCCUGGGGAGUACGGUCGCAAGAUUAAAACUCAAAUGAAUUGACGGGG
rnacentral:rRNA from 1 species